CAAACGACGACCACAUAAAUGCGCACGCGAGAAUAAAUUCCUCCAAAGCCAGCAACUAUACCCGCAAAGCUCGGUACGACGAUUCGCUAUAAAUACGCAGUAAAUCCAGAAACCCCGAGAAAUAUCAAAACCAAAAUCCAAAGCCGGAGAGGAAACAGGAACAGAAAAUCAAAGAGAUGGCGGACAUAGCUCUCCUGGUCGCGGAGGAAUUCGAGAGGAGGACGAUCUCGCAGGAAGAGCUCGAGGCGUCGUGGUGCGUGGGAGUUUUCAAUUUGGCGCUGAACCUCCGGGAGCAGGUGCGGGUGAGGUUUCGGGAGGAGAACAUAGACGAGGUCCUUCUCAGGAGGUUCCUCAAACCCAAGUCCAGGAUCAGCAUUGCUGCUAGAAAUGGCUUCUUCUCUGCUUAGUUGAUUUGAUUCCUACACGAUUAAUUAGUAAUUAAUUACCAAUAUCAUCUGAUUUUAUUAUCAUCUUCUCCACCCUACUCUACUCUACUCUACUCUACUCUACUCUACUGUAAGUAAGUAUUGCCUUGCUCUCAAAAUCUUAUAUCAAUCAAUCCAUCAUGGCAUUUGUAAUUGUAAUUGUAAUUGUAAUUGGAAUUGCGUGAGUUUGUUUUGGA